CCUCGUUGGAUUUUGCACGUUUUGCACGCGUCGCUUCCAGUGGUCGCUUCUUUUGUACGACGUACGGUGGGGAGCACUGUAUAAGAUGUUCCUGAUAGUAGAAUUUCUGGAGGAAGAGCGAUGUGGGACGCAUUCAGUUGAAAUAGUUCCUGUCUCAUGGGUCAAAGGCAGCGUCUGUAAAUAGCCCAAAGUGCCAGCCGAUAGGCACGAAAGCUCAUCAUGAAGUAUGCCCCUCCUACAGCGUCGUGGGACAGCUUUCACGUUGCCAUAAAAGGCUCUUUUUGUUCAGAGACUAGAAGAAAAAGAAAGCGGAUUGAGUCAUUUGAUUCUGACACGGAUGUGGACGACGUAGACACUCUGCCAAGUCCGCCACCUUUCCCGACGACAUUCCCUGAGAGGAGUAACAAUAACCUUGCGAGUCACCAUACCUCACCCACCGGAAGUAUAGUCCGGAGCGGCAGCGUUAACAGUGACCUCAAUCACUGUGCCCAAGAUGAACCUGGGACUCAUGACAACAGUG